CAGUCGAACGGUAGCACAGAGAGCUUGCUCUCGGGUGACGAGUGGCGGACGGGUGAGUAAUGUCUGGGAAACUGCCUGAUGGAGGGGGAUAACUACUGGAAACGGUAGCUAAUACCGCAUAAUGUCGCAAGACCAAAGAGGGGGACCUUCGGGCCUCUUGCCAUCAGAUGUGCCCAGAUGGGAUUAGCUAGUAGGUGGGGUAACGGCUCACCUAGGCGACGAUCCCUAGCUGGUCUGAGAGGAUGACCAGCCACACUGGAACUGAGACACGGUCCAGACUCCUACGGGAGGCAGCAGUGGGGAAUAUUGCACAAUGGGCGCAAGCCUGAUGCAGCCAUGCCGCGUGUAUGAAGAAGGCCUUCGGGUUGUAAAGUACUUUCAGCGGGGAGGAAGGUGUUGUGGUUAAUAACCACAGCAAUUGACGUUACCCGCAGAAGAAGCACCGGCUAACUCCGUGCCAGC
rnacentral:rRNA from 1 species